rnacentral:rRNA from 1 species
ACGUGGGCAACCUGCCCUUGAGACGGGGAUAACUCCGGGAAACCGGAGCUAAUACCGGAUAACACAUAUCUUCGCAUGAGGAUAUGUUAGAAGGUGGCUUUUAGCUACCACUCAAGGAUGGGCCCGCGGCGCAUUAGCUAGUUGGUGAGGUAACGGCUCACCAAGGCGACGAUGCGUAGCCGACCUGAGAGGGUGAUCGGCCACACUGGGACUGAGACACGGCCCAGACUCCUACGGGAGGCAGCAGUAGGGAAUCUUCCGCAAUGGACGAAAGUCUGACGGAGCAACGCCGCGUGAGUGAUGAAGGUUUUCGGAUCGUAAAGCUCUGUUGUUAGGGAAGAACAAGUACCUGUUAAAUAAGCAGGUACCUUGACGGUACCUAACCAGAAAGCCACGGCUAACUACGUGCCAGCAGCCGCGGUAAUACGUAGGUGGCAAGCGUUGUCCGGAAUUAUUGGGCGUAAAGCGCGCGCAGGCGGUUCCUUAAGUCUGAUGUGAAAGCCCACGGCUCAACCGUGGAGGGUCAUUGGAAACUGGGGAACUUGAGUGCAGAAGAGGAGAGCGGAAUUCCACGUGUAGCGGUGAAAUGCGUAGAGAUGUGGAGGAACACCAGUGGCGAAGGCGGCUCUCUGGUCUGUAACUGACGCUGAGGCGCGAAAGCGUGGGGAGCGAACAGGAUUAGAUACCCUGGUAGUCCACGCCGUAAACGAUGAGUGCUAAGUGUUAGAGGGUUUCCGCCCUUUAGUGCUGCAGCAAACGC